rnacentral:rRNA from 1 species
CCUACGGGGGGCUGCAGUAGGGAAUCUUCCACAAUGGACGAAAGUCUGAUGGAGCAACGCCGCGUGAGUGAAGAAGGUUUUCGGAUCGUAAAACUCUGUUGUAAGGGAAGAACAAGUACAGUAGUAACUGGCUGUACCUUGACGGUACCUUAUUAGAAAGCCACGGCUAACUACGUGCCAGCAGCCGCGGUAAUACGUAGGUGGCAAGCGUUGUCCGGAAUUAUUGGGCGUAAAGCGCGCGCAGGCGGUCCUUUAAGUCUGAUGUGAAAUCACGUGGCUCAACCACGUGCGGUCAUUGGAAACUGGAGGACUUGAGUGCAGAAGAGGAAAGUGGAAUUCCAAGUGUAGCGGUGAAAUGCGUAGAGAUUUGGAGGAACACCAGUGGCGAAGGCGACUUUCUGGUCUGUAACUGACGCUGAGGCGCGAAAGCGUGGGGAGCAAACAGGAUUAGAUACCCUUGUAGUC